ensembl:lncRNA
UUGGUGGCAAGGAUUUGCUUUCGCCCCGACUUCGGGAUGGGGAGAGUCCACGACUGUGGUCCCGAUCCUUAGAUGCGGGAAGUGUGUGACUCCUGGGCUGUGGGCAGAGGCACCUGCGUCUCCCCACAUCUUCAGGAAGGUGAACCAGUGAGGCACAGAGAAGUUGAGCACCUUGGGCAAUGUCACACAGCUCACGACGGAACCUGGUUCUUCUUCAGCAUCCCUGAUGUUAAGCUGAACAGCUCUGAGUAUGGAUCAGAUUGCUAGAAUGUUCAAGACUAGCCAAGACAUGGGAGCCGCCUAAGUGUCCACCGACCGAUGAAUGGAUAAAGAUGUGGUACCUCUACAAUGGGGCAUUACACAACCAUAAUGAGAAUAGAAUUUUGCCAUUUGCAAGACAAAUGCUGCAUGUUACCACUUAUAUGUGGAAUCUAAAUGAUACAACCAACUAGUGACUAGACCAAAAUAGAA